CCCCCCAUCCCCAAAUACCAGCUAUCAACAAAACAAAAAUGACAGAAAACACUUAAGCUUGCUUAUUUUUUAACUAUUCUCUAGCUCCCGAUACCCUGAUACCCUGAGUUUUCCACAGAUUAGUACAUGAAUGAAAGAAUUUGUAUGUGUGCAGAAGUUGUCACUCAGUAUACAGUGAAUGGAAGAAUUGGUAUGUGAAGGAAUGUGGGGUAGUUAUCACCAAGUGUAGAGUGAAUGGAAAGAUUAGUAUAUAUAGGACUGUUGGCCAGUUAUCACCGAGUGUACAAUGAAUGGAAGGAUUAGUAUGUUAAGGAAUGUGGGGUAGUUAUCACCGAGUGUACAGUGAAUGUAGGAAUGAGGGGGCAGUUGUCAGCUAGUGUAAAAUAAAUGGAAGGAUUAGUAUGUGAAGGAAUGUGGGGCAGUUAUUGAGUACACAAUGAAUGAAAGAAUUGGUGUGUGAAGAAAUGUGAGACAGUUAUCACUGUGCGUUCAACGAAUGGAAGGAUUAGUACGUGAAGGAAUGUGAGGAAAUUAGCACUGAGCAUACGAUGAAUUGAAGGAUUAGUAUGUGAAGGAAUGUGGGCCAGUUAUCACUGUGCGUUCAACGAAUGGAAGGCUUAGUACGUGAAGGAAUGUGAGGAAAUUAGCACUGAGCAUACGAUGAAUUGAAGGAUUAGUAUGUGAAGGAAUGUAAGGAAAUUAGCACUGAGCAUAUGAUGAAUUGAAGGAUUAGUAUGUGAAGGAAUGUAGACCAGUUUUCACCGAGUGUACAACGAAUGGAAGGAUUAGUGUGUGAAGGAAUGUAGGCCAGUUAUCACUGAGCAUACAAUGAAUGAAGGGAUUAGUAUGUGAAGGAAUGUAGGCCAGUUAUCACUGUGCGUUCAACGAAUGGAAGGCUUAGUACGUGAAGGAAUGUGAGGAAAUUAGCACUGAGCAUACGAUGAAUUGAAGGAUUAGUAUGUGAAGGAAUGUGAGGAAAUUAGCACUGAGCAUACGAUGAAUUGAAGGAUUAGUAUGUGAAGGAAUGUAGGCCAGUUUUCACCGAGUGUACAACGAAUGGAAGGAUUAGUAUUUGAAGGAAUGUAGGCCAGUUAUUACUGAGCAUACAAUGAAUGGAGGGAUUAGUAUGUGAAGGAAUGUAGGCCAGUUAUCACUGAGUGUACAAUGAAUGGAGGGAUUAGUAUGUGAAGGAAUGUGGGGCAGUUAUCACUGAGUGUACAACGAAUGGAAGGAUUAGUAUGUGAAGGAAUGUGGGGCAGUUAUCACUGAGUGUACAACAAAUGGAAGGAUUAGUAUGUGAAGGAAUGUGGGGCAGUUAUCACCGAGUGUACAAUGAAUAGAGGGAUUAGUAUGUGAAGGAAUGUGGGGCAGUUAUCACCGAGUGUACAAUGAAUGGAAGGCUUAGUACGUGAAGGAAUGUGAGGAAAUUAGCACUGAGCAUAUGAUGAAUGGAAGGAUUAGUAUGUGAAGGAAUGUGGGGCAGUUAUCACUGAGUGUACAACGAAUGGAAGGAUUAGUAUGUGAAGGAAUGUGGGGCAGUUAUCACUGAGUGUACAACGAAUGGAAGGAUUAGUAUGUGAAGGAAUAUCGGGCAGUUAUCACUGAGUGUACAAUGAAUGGAGGGAUUAGUAUGUGAAGGAAUGUGGGGCAGUUAUCACCGAGUGUACAGUGAAUGGAAGAAUUAGUAUGUGAAGGAAUGUGAGGAAAUUAGCACUGAGCAUACGAUGAAUUGAAGGAUUAGUAUGUGAAGGAAUGUAGGCCAGUUUUCACUGAGUGUACAACGAAUGGAAGGAUUAGUAUGUGAAGGAAUGUGGGGCAGUUAUCACUGAGUGUACAAUGAAUGGAGGGAUAAGUAUGUGAAGGAAUGUUGGGCAGUUAUCACUGAGUGUACAAUGAAUGGAGGGAUUAGUAUGUGAAGGAAUGUCGGGCAGUUAUCACCGAGUGUACAAUGAAUGGAGGGAUAAGUAUGUGAAGG